rnacentral:tRNA from 1 species
AGGGGCUUAGGUUAGCACAAGACCAAGAGCCUUCAAAGCCCUAAGCGAGAGUGAAAAUCUCCCAGCCCCUG